rfam:Arabis alpina cultivar Pajares chromosome 7, whole genome shotgun sequence.
AAUUCGUUGUUAGGGAAAUCUCUAGUGUACUCCUUGAAACGUUCCAAUGCUCCAAAGAAUGACUCCGUGGCUCCUUGCUAGAAGCUUGAGAUUUGGUUCCUCAUGGAACU